CUGAAGUCUUUAUAUUCAGCCAACAGUCACACUUCUGUCAGAACUGAACAAAGAUACAGAGAGAACACAUUUUUCAACACCUGAAGAAAAUUAAUCUUCUUCGUCAGGAUGGUGAAGCAGAGAGACAAUAACAGGAACUCUGUCCUGGUACGUUCCAGUGAUUCAGGACACGCUGCAGUGUGGCUGCUUCCUGAUUUGAUCCAACCAGGAACAACUGUCAGCUGUGUGUGUGUGUGUGUGUGUGUGUGUGUGUGUGUGUGUGUGUGUGUGUGUGUGUGUGUGUGUGUGUGUGUGUGUGUGUGUGUGUGUGUGUGUGUGUGUGUGUGUGUGUGUGUGUGUGUGUGUGUGUGUGUGUUAAACUAGUUCAGAUAAAUGGAGAGUAAUGCAUCAUUUAAAUCCCAUGGGUUUGUUUUAUUAUUCUAAUUGUAUUUAAAAACAAAGGACCUUCAUGUCCCCAUAGGGGGCCACAGCCCACACUUUUGGUAAUAACUGUUACUCAGUUUGGUUUGAGAAAAACUUCAGACGUUAUGGCUGAAAUUUAAUAUUAAAGUGUUUUGUAAAGAUAUUGUUUUACUUACGUGACAAAUAUGUAAAGAUACAGCAAGAUUGUAGCUUAAAACCAAACUUGUUUUGUUUUCUUUUUGUUUUGUUUUCUUGUUUUUUAUACUUACUAUACUUUUAUAUUAAAUGGAAUUGUAUGAAAAUAAACUUUUCAGCAAACAUCA